GGAGGGGGAAGGGCCUUUCCAACAGAGUGACUGACAUCUGUGAAGGCAUGAAAAAAAAAAAAAAAGAAUUUGGCUUUGAAUGUAGAGGCCACGAAGAGAAAGGUGGUAGGAACUCAAUCUGGGAGGAUGGAUAUAUGUCUGUUGGGUCUGGGGUCUGCAUCUAGGGGUCCCAAAAGUCACCCUAGGUGGGUCUCUUUCUCCUCUCUCUCUCUCUCCCUGACACAGAAGAGAAGUCAGAACAGUAGACCAGUGCAAACCAAAAGUAAUUUUAUUGCAAGAGGAAUUGGUUAAAAGUCACAGGGCUCAGAGGUAGGAUACCUUCAAAUCUGGGGCUAUGGUCCUUUUUGGGGGGAUGAGGACCCCAUCCAUCUCCAAACCCCUGAGGGUCACGACUUGAUUGGUUCUUAGACUUAUACUAGAGGGCCAGGUUUGGUUAACUGUCGCGAGUUGCGACGUCAGGAUCCUGCCAGCAGGUCCUAAACCUGAAAGGACGAGGACAGAGAGACGGGAGGCACUUACCUUCUCAAGUUCCUUGCUUGCUUGCUUACUUUAUUACAGAACCUCUUCCUUUUAUACUCUCCAGCUGCAUGGGAGCGAGGGCUGCACGGGAGCGAGAGUACCACCCACACAUUCCAGAGGGAAGCAAUAACAACCACUAUGGGUUACAUCUGCUACCAGCUGAACUCGCCCGUGGCUAUGGGCGAGAGCACGUCCGUGCCAGCGAGCUGGCGCCGGAACGUGGGGCUAGAAGAACAGGAAACCUGAUUGAAAGAGGAUCGGAUUUCGCUGUGAGAGACGG
rnacentral:lncRNA from 1 species